GGGUUGUGAGGUUAAGCGACUAAGCGUACACGGUGGAUGCCCUGGCAGUCAGAGGCGAUGAAGGACGUGCUAAUCUGCGAAAAGCGUCGGUAAGGUGAUAUGAACCGUUAUAACCGGCGAUGUCCGAAUGGGGAAACCCAGUGUGAUUCGUCACACUAUCGUUAACUGAAUACAUAGGUUAACGAGGCGAACCGGGGGAACUGAAACAUCUAAGUACCCCGAGGAAAAGAAAUCAACCGAGAUUCCCCCAGUAGCGGCGAGCGAACGGGGAGCAGCCCAGAGUCUGAAUCAGCUUGUGUGUUAGUGGAACGGUCUGGAAAGUCCGACGGUACAGGGUGAUAGUCCCGUACACCAAAAUGCACAGGCUGUGAACUCGAAGAGUAGGGCGGGACACGUGGUAUCCUGUCUGAAUAUGGGGGGACCAUCCUCCAAGGCUAAAUACUCCUGACUGACCGAUAGUGAACCAGUACCGUGAGGGAAAGGCGAAAAGAACCCCGGCGAGGGGAGUGAAAAAGAACCUGAAACCGUGUACGUACAAGCAGUGGGAGCACCUUCGGGUGUGACUGCGUACCUUUUGUAUAAUGGGUCAGCGACUUAUAUUCUGUAGCAAGGUUAACCGUAUAGGGGAGCCGCAGGGAAACCGAGUCUUAACUGGGCGUUAAGUUGCAGGGUAUAGACCCGAAACCCGGUGAUCUAGCCAUGGGCAGGUUGAAGGUUGGGUAACACUAACUGGAGGACCGAACCGACUAAUGUUGAAAAAUUAGCGGAUGACUUGUGGCUGGGGGUGAAAGGCCAAUCAAACCGGGAGAUAGCUGGUUCUCCCCGAAAGCUAUUUAGGUAGCGCCUCGUGAAUUCAUCUUCGGGGGUAGAGCACUGUUUCGGCUAGGGGGUCAUCCCGACUUACCAACCCGAUGCAAACUACGAAUACCGAAGAAUGUUAUCACGGGAGACACACGGCGGGUGCUAACGUCCGUCGUGAAGAGGGAAACAACCCAGACCGCCAGCUAAGGUCCCAAAGUCAUGGUUAAGUGGGAAACGAUGUGGGAAGGCACAGACAGCCAGGAUGUUGGCUUAGAAGCAGCCAUCAUUUAAAGAAAGCGUAAUAGCUCACUGGUCGAGUCGGCCUGCGCGGAAGAUGUAACGGGGCUAAACCAUGCACCGAAGCUGCGGCAGCGACACUAUGUGUUGUUGGGUAGGGGAGCGUUCUGUAAGCCUGCGAAGGUGACCUGUGAGGGUUGCUGGAGGUAUCAGAAGUGCGAAUGCUGACAUAAGUAACGAUAAAGCGGGUGAAAAGCCCGCUCGCCGGAAGACCAAGGGUUCCUGUCCAACGUUAAUCGGGGCAGGGUGAGUCGACCCCUAAGGCGAGGCCGAAAGGCGUAGUCGAUGGGAAACAGGUUAAUAUUCCUGUACUUGGUGUUACUGCGAAGGGGGGACGGAGAAGGCUAUGUUAGCCGGGCGACGGUUGUCCCGGUUUAAGCAUGUAGGCUGGUUGUCCAGGCAAAUCCGGAUAAUCAAGGCUGAGGUGUGAUGACGAGGCACUACGGUGCUGAAGUAACAAAUGCCCUGCUUCCAGGAAAAGCCUCUAAGCAUCAGGUAACAUCAAAUCGUACCCCAAACCGACACAGGUGGUCAGGUAGAGAAUACCAAGGCGCUUGAGAGAACUCGGGUGAAGGAACUAGGCAAAAUGGUGCCGUAACUUCGGGAGAAGGCACGCUGGUGUGUAGGUGAAGCCCCUGCGGGUGGAGCUGAGACCAGUCGAAGAUACCAGCUGGCUGCAACUGUUUAUUAAAAACACAGCACUGUGCAAACACGAAAGUGGACGUAUACGGUGUGACGCCUGCCCGGUGCCGGAAGGUUAAUUGAUGGGGUUAUCCGUAAGGAGAAGCUCUUGAUCGAAGCCCCGGUAAACGGCGGCCGUAACUAUAACGGUCCUAAGGUAGCGAAAUUCCUUGUCGGGUAAGUUCCGACCUGCACGAAUGGCGUAAUGAUGGCCAGGCUGUCUCCACCCGAGACUCAGUGAAAUUGAACUCGCUGUGAAGAUGCAGUGUACCCGCGGCAAGACGGAAAGACCCCGUGAACCUUUACUAUAGCUUGACACUGAACAUUGAGCCUUGAUGUGUAGGAUAGGUGGGAGGCUUUGAAGCGUGGACGCCAGUCUGCGUGGAGCCAACCUUGAAAUACCACCCUUUAAUGUUUGAUGUUCUAACGUUGGCCCCUUAUCGGGGUUGCGGACAGUGUCUGGUGGGUAGUUUGACUGGGGCGGUCUCCUCCCAAAGCGUAACGGAGGAGCACGAAGGUUAGCUAAUCCUGGUCGGACAUCAGGAGGUUAGUGCAAUGGCAUAAGCUAGCUUGACUGCGAGCGUGACGGCGCGAGCAGGUGCGAAAGCAGGUCAUAGUGAUCCGGUGGUUCUGAAUGGAAGGGCCAUCGCUCAACGGAUAAAAGGUACUCCGGGGAUAACAGGCUGAUACCGCCCAAGAGUUCAUAUCGACGGCGGUGUUUGGCACCUCGAUGUCGGCUCAUCACAUCCUGGGGCUGAAGUAGGUCCCAAGGGUAUGGCUGUUCGCCAUUUAAAGUGGUACGCGAGCUGGGUUUAGAACGUCGUGAGACAGUUCGGUCCCUAUCUGCCGUGGGCGCUGGAGAAUUGAGGGGGGCUGCUCCUAGUACGAGAGGACCGGAGUGGACGCAUCACUGGUGUUCGGGUUGUCAUGCCAAUGGCACUGCCCGGUAGCUAAAUGCGGAAGAGAUAAGUGCUGAAAGCAUCUAAGCACGAAACUUGCCCCGAGAUGAGUUCUCCCUGAGACUUUAAGUCUCCUGAAGGAACGUUAAAGACGAUGACGUUGAUAGGCCGGGUGUGUAAGCGCAGCGAUGCGUUGAGCUAACCGGUACUAAUGAACCGUGAGGCUUAACCUUACAACGCCGAAG
rnacentral:rRNA from 1 species